AAAUCUACUACAUCAUCUCACUACAUGUCUAAUAUGAAGGACAAAGCAUAAUCUCAUGGAAUCAUAGUUACCAAAAUUACAAAAUAUUGAUCCAAAAACAAUAAUUAUUCACAUGUUUAUAUAUAUGAAAAAUAUCAAACAUCUAUACACCAAACAAACUUAGCAGUAACAUUAAAACAUCUAUACACCAAAUAUCCAACUAGCAUUAAGCAAUGUCCAACCCUAUAUACAUGUUUGUAAUGAUUUCAUGAUCAUACUAAAACUUUUCAAAGUGAAAUAGUAACAGAACUAGAAAUGAAAUGUCAUAUUUAUUGUGACAUUUAAACAAACAUUGUCCAAUCCCAAACUUCACUUGUAAUCUCUUCUACAAUGACAUUUCAAAUUACUAUCCCCAUAUCCCUCUUCUGGGAUUCAAAAAGCAUUCUUCCACUCCUGGGUUGAAUUAAUUAUAUCCAGCUCCAACAAUUGCUUAAUGUUGGAUUCAUCUCCACAUUGUUUUCCCCAUCACUUCAUAUUUUCACAUCUAACAUCUCCUCACCAGAUCCUUUAAAUAUUUGCCUUUUCUGUUCCUUUUCAUGGUUAUUUUCCACCAACUCCCUAACACAAUUCAAAGAGAAGCUGUUUUGUUUGUUGCAAAACUCUCUUUGACAUGGAUGCUUGUAACACCCCCAACUCGUAUCCCUUACCGGAACCGGGUUAUUGAGCAUUACUGGAGUUUACCGAUCAAACAGACAAAAAUUUCAAGCAUUUCGUAUCAUAUAAUAUUCAUGUCAAAAACCAAUCAAACACAUUCAAAUCAUGUCAAAAUAAUCAUCUUAGGUGUCAAACUAAUGUACCCUAAUUGGUACCAAAUUUAUAUCAUCAAUAUAUAUUAUUAAAACAUCAUUCAAAUUCAAAUUAUAAAAAUGCCAAAAUUCAUCAAUUUGGCCUAUCUCAUAUAUAUACUUAAAACAUUAACUUAAAUUCACAAGCACAUACCAAGCUUUUAUUCCAUUUACUAUGCUAUACUAUGGCUUCAAACACAAGCACAUGUUAUAUAUAUACUAAGCCAACAUUAUACUUAUAACCUCAUAUACAUUUCAUCCACAAAAUAACUAACAUUUAAACACCCUAGGUACAUAUCGACACAAAAGAUAAACAUCACCACAUUUGAGUUCGGGAUCGUUGUUGGAUGCUAAAUCGCCGAUCAAAAUUAAGAAAUUAACCUGCGCACGGAAAACAAAACCGUACACUGAGUAAAACUCAGUGGUAUUUCUAUAAUCUGAAUAUUUAAAGACAAGAUAAUAUAAUAUGCACAUCUUAAUUAUAAGUACAAUUGAAUAUUAAAAACCACAUUUAUUCAUACAAUGACAUUAGUCAUUCGGUAUUCAAUUCAUAAAUACAUCAUUUAUACCAUACUCAAUUUUCAUCAUUUGCUAUAUAAUAGCUUUUCACAAUAUAAUACAUAUAUCAUUUAAACAACAACAUUGUUCAUUCUAUAUCCAAUUCAUGAAUACAUAAUUCAUGUGUCUCAAUCCAUAUUUCAAUUCAUUAUCCCAUUUUCAUUUCACAUGCAAUAUCAUCUGAUAUCAACCAUAGUUCCAUUUUAAUUAAUUACCCCUAUUAACACGACUCGGACUCGGAUAGAUACACGGAUCCAACCAACACACCAAUUUGGCACCCAGUACUUCAUCGGAUAAUUCGAAGUAGUAAAUUGACACUCAGUAUUUCAUUGAAUAAAUCCGAAGUAGUAAAUUGACACCCAGUGUCUCAUCGUUAAACCAAAGUAAAUUGGCACCCAGUGCCUCAUCGACUCGAAGUCGAAGAAAUCCCUAAACUCUUCUAAUCCUAUCGCAUGCCAUCUAUAUUCGACUCAGCCUGAUACAUUUAAUAGGGUUUCAAUUCACUUUCCAUAUAAAACAAAUAUCCAAAUUUCACAUUAGCACAUUUACUCAUAUAUAUAUUCAUUUCAAUUCAAAUAAUCAAUACAUUCAUAAUAUAUCACUUCAAUUCAUUCAAUCAACUUUAAUUCAAUUCAAUAUCAAAGUAUCAAAUACUCACCUCAACACUUAUCAUAUGCAUUAAAUUGAAUUAUAACAAAUUAACAACUAAGUUCGGAUUAUAGAAAUACAAACUAGAAAUUCUGAGCUAUUCCCCGUCGACUUUAUCUUUCCCCUUUUUAGUUGAGGAUUUCAGUACGACGUUAGCUACGAAAUUAAAAUAAUUAAAAUUUAUCAAUACAACACAAUUCAAUUCCAUAUUGCAUAUUUCAAUUUUUUUCUUAAUAUUUGCCUAAUUUUCAAUUUAGUCCCUAAACUGAGACUAACUUUAUUUCUUUACAAUUAAUCCUAUAUUUUCAUACAAAUUUCAAUUUAAACUAAAUUUAACUCACUAUUUUCACUUAAAUUCCUAAAUUUCAAUAUUUUCACAAUUUAAUUCCUAUUACUCAAAAUUUACAAUUUAUUCUACAAUUUAAUCUUUUCUCAUUUCUAACUUUUAAAUCUAUCAAUUUAAUUCCUAAUACUAAAAUUAUUCAACAUCGACAACACUUAAAAACUCAAUAAUUUUUAAAAUUUCGAUAUGAGUCGGAUAGUAUUUAACACCGAAAUUCCAAAACCAUAAAAAUUACAAGAAAAAGGGACUAAUUUGACUAACCAAUUAAACUUGGAAACUUUAAAACCCUAAAACCCUUCGUCUCCUUCUUUCUCCCUUUUCUUUCUUUCUUUUUUCCUUUCUUUUUCCUUCUGCUUCGUUUUGGUUUUCUAUUUCUAUUUCUUUGUUUUUUCUUUUAUUUAUUUGUUUUAUUAUUAUAAUAUAAUAUAUAUACUUAAAUAUUAAGCAACAUAUUAUAAUAUAUAUUUUAACUUAAAAUUUUAUAAUAAUUUCACCCUUGUGUCGCCUCAUUUAUAAACCAUGGCAAAAUUGCUUCUUUAUUACUUUUAAUUUUUUCUUUAAUCUAUAAUUCAACUUUCACCCUUCAUGCAAUUUAGUCCUUAUACCUAAUUACUCUUAAUUCAUGCAAAUUCACCUAACCAAAACCUAAUUAACUACACAACUAACUUCUUAAAUAUUUUUAAUAAAUAUUUUUAAUAAAUAUUUAUGAGUCUGAUUUACGGUAAUAGAGUCUCAGAAAUGCAUUUUUCGACACCUGUGACUAUCGGGUCGUUACAAUGAUAACCAGGAAGAAGUAGACCAGUGAGGCACUUUAAGUUGUUUGAAUCCUACACACCUCAAUUUUUCUGGUCUGUCUUGAAGAAGUAAAUUCAAAAGCCAAGCUGACAAUAUUGAGUCCUCCUUUAUUAGCUUAGACCAGAACAACCUUUUGUUGGAAACUUGUUGUCUUGUUGUUUUUUAACUCCAGGGAAAUUAGUAAUGAAUUCUAAUCAGAAGGGAAAGUAAUUGUGAAAGCUUAUAUCAACUUUAAAUAUACUAACAAUUAUCGAGCGGGCAACUGCUUGUUGAAGUAGAUACUUGUUCUUCCACGCAUCUCCAUUCAAACUCUGUAUCUGCAACAGCCUGUUUAGUUAUGUGAGUUUCAACUAGAAUCUUGCACCAUUAAAAAGAUUAAAAAGAAGAAUUGAUUCUUUUUACAUACAUUAGAUGGAUAAAAAUAAGAAACAUUAUUAGCUUGUGCAUAGCAACGAGCCAUCAAGAUUGCCUUUGCCAAAUCAACUUUAAAUUGGCAUGAAUAAUUAACAAAUAAUCAACAACUUAAGGCCAAUUUUGUAUAAUAAACAUACACAGACACUGCUUAUGCAACUAUUAGAUGCUAUACUUGGUAAUGUUUGAUACAAUACGAUUGUAUGACACAAACAUAACACAGAAAGAACAACUAAAAAAGCAAUACAAAAUACGACAUUGACACGAAGGCUAAAUAUAUUGAGAGAAAAACUACACAAGUUAUUAAUCCCUCCAGACUGCAAAGGAUAAAGUCUUAAGCCUAUUAUGAAGCCAUAACCAAGUUGGUCACUGAAAGAAAGAAUAAUUUAAUAACAGAAGUCAUAUACAUUUGGAGGUGCAGAAAGCACAACAAACUAAAAACGAUAGCAGAACUAAAACCCUAAUUAUUAAAGUGGUUCUUUUGUUGGUGUACUUGGAUCAUGUAGAUAUUUUCUUGGUGUGGGCUGAUUUUUUAAGCAAAUGAUAUCAGUUCUCUGAUAAUGUGGGAUGUGUGAUUCCACUAUAUGAAAUUGGCAAAGAAACAUAGAAAAGGUUAAUAUCACUUCAUAAAGGCAUGCUAUAAAUGCAAUGUUUGUUUUGAAAGUUGCAGUAAAUAAUUAAAUGAAUGGAAAGAGCAAAUGAUUAUAAAGUUAAAAUAGAUCUUAUUAUAUAAAUAAAAAUGAAAGAUCUUAUUAAAAGGACAUCCAAAAUGAGAAAUGUCAUUCUAGCAACCAGACAAUCCUUACAAAGCCAAAAUCCCUCCACUCUUCCAACACAUGAAUCUGUAUCAUUUUCAUUUUAACAUAAAUAACCAUUAUCACAAGUCCCUCAGAUCCAGCCUAUGAUAAACUGUAUGAGAAAAAUUGGUUCUUCUAAUCCAUGAAUCUCUUUUGCCAUCUUUUGUCUCUCUUUAUAUCUAAAAAUGACCUUACCCCCUUUAUCUUCCUCCUUAAAAAAGCUAAAAUAAUAUGAUGCUAAACAAUAUAAAAUUAGCUUCAAAUUUUAGUUUCAUUGAAAUCAAGAAACCAAUCAAAGUUAUAAACAACCAUCAAGAAGGAAAAUUUGGCUGGCCUUAAUCUAUUAUCCAUCAAAAGAGAAAAAGAUAAUUAACCACUUGAAAUGAAACCCAACAUCAUCCCCACACUUGAAGAACAAAAAACAAAAAAACAAAACAAGAAAAACCUUUUGUGAAUGCCUAAAAAAUCCCACACAAGCAACCAAAUAAAUAAGUAAUUCAUAAAAAAGAGGAUACUAUUACUAGCCAAUUAGUAAACUUUCUAAUUAAAGAAAAAGGAAAACUUUGCAUAAGAAAUUUAAACUUACAGAUUGUUUUGUGCAGAAAUUGCAUAAAAUGUAAAGGAAAAAAAACAAGAAAUUUAAAUAUACAGAUUUUUUUCCUCUUUUUGUUUUCUAUCUUCUUUGUUGUUAUAAAAGCAAAGAAAGACAUUUUGCGGGUAAAAACUAAAAAAGAACAAAGGAAAAACAAAACCAAAAAAUAGUAAAAGAAAGUUAAAAUUUCAAUUGAGAAAGAAAUUUCAGAAAUCCAGAUCAAAUGCAAACAUCAAAGAUUGAUAAUUUUCAGUUUUCAAGUUUUUAAAUAGCUUUAAAAAAAAACAACUCAAAAAUUCAAAACAAACUCGAGUAUCAAAUACUCAUAUUGUUUAGUUUUCAAGAAGCUUGAAUCUCACCCAUGAAAAUUGAUGCUUACUUGGAGACAAAUUCGAUGUUCUGAGCUUUCUUUCUCUCAAUUUGAUAGGAAGAUGAAAAGUGAACAUUGGGAAGAAAAUGGUGAAAGAAUAACCUCCCAGGUUUUUGUCAAUUAUAAGCUUUUAAAUUUGUUAUUUUUUGAGGGGUACACUGG
rnacentral:lncRNA from 1 species